UCAAUGUACAAAACACUGUACGUGUGGAGGAACAGCCUAUCACUGUUCAAUUCACCAGGCCAUGGGAUAGGUAAGCUCGUUCGGGCACAGCACUGAGUUACAAGAUUAAGAACUAAAGUCCUAGGGGAAUCCACGCCAGCACAAUCAUCUCUCAAACCAUCCCUUCUGCUUUUUCCCCCCCUUUGAAAUUUCAAAUUCCAGUUUGUGGACAAAGUCCUACCUAUCUGAGAAUAUAGAUCUCCGACCACUGACCAAACUCCAUUCCAAGUGACAACCUAGUUAUGCUUUUCCCCAGGCUCUGACAUUCAAUGUUUGGAACUACCAGGGAGAUUGCAGAUCAGCUCGCCUCGGCCUGAACUGCUGUGCACCUUGAAAGAAUGGAUUCUGGCUACUUGGGUGACUUCAAAGUCAAGCAUUGGGGAAGAGGAUUCCUUCUGAUUGCCAGUAACAAAGCAGCUAUUAUUCUCCAGAUAUGUUGGACUGCGACUUCUAUCAUUCCCAGACAGCAUGAUGCUGUUGAUUAGGGGAGAUGCAGUCUAUUGUAUCUGAAAGGUAACAAGUUGCUAAGGAUUGAAGGCCAUCUUGAAUACAUGUGCCUGAGGUCUCCAGAAACCUCAAAACAUUGCCAACUAAUUUUUCAUGUACCACAUGGGAAAGCCUUUCAAUACAUGACUGAAGAGUAAUCAUAUUGUCAAUUUUAAGGCUUUAAUUAAAUUAAAUAAAAUGAACUCUU